GACGAACGCUGGCGGCGUGCUUAACACAUGCAAGUCGAACGGAAAGGCCCUGCUUUUGUGGGGUGCUCGAGUGGCGAACGGGUGAGUAACACGUGAGUAACCUGCCCUUGACUUUGGGAUAACUUCAGGAAACUGGGGCUAAUACCGGAUAGGAGCUCCUGCUGCAUGGUGGGGGUUGGAAAGUUUCUGCGGUUGGGGAUGGACUCGCGGCUGAUCAGCUUGUUGGUGGGGUAGUGGCUUACCAAGGCUUUGACGGGUAGCCGGCCUGAGAGGGUGACCGGCCACAUUGGGACUGAGAUACGGCCCAGACUCCUACGGGAGGCAGCAGUGGGGAAUAUUGCACAAUGGGCGGAAGCCUGAUGCAGCAACGCCGCGUGCGGGAUGACGGCCUUCGGGUUGUAAACCGCUUUCGCCUGUGACGAAGCGUGAGUGACGGUAAUGGGUAAAGAAGCACCGGCUAACUACGUG
rnacentral:rRNA from 1 species